GACGAACGCUGGCGGCGUGCUUAACACAUGCAAGUCGAACGAUGAAGCCGGAGCUUGCUCUGGUGAAUUAGUGGCGAACGGGUGAGUAACACGUGAGUAACCUGCCCUUGACUCUGGGAUAACUGCGGGAAACUGUAGCUAAUACCGGAUACGACCCUCGGAGGCAUCUCCUGGGGGUGGAAAGAAUUUCGGUCAAGGAUGGACUCGCGGCCUAUCAGCUAGUUGGUGAGGUAAAGGCUCACCAAGGCGACGACGGGUAGCCGGCCUGAGAGGGGGACCGGCCACCAUGGGACUGGGACACGGCCCAGACUCCUACGGGAGGCAGCAGUGGGGAAUAUUGCACAAUGGGCGCAAGCCUGAUGCAGCAACGCCGCGUGAGGGAUGACGGCCUUCGGGUUGUAAACCUCUUUUAGCAGGGAAGAAGCGAAAGUGACGGUACCUGCAGAAAAAGCACCGGCUAACUACGUGCCAGCCGCCGCCGUAA
rnacentral:rRNA from 1 species